GAUGAACGCUGGCGGCGUGCUUAACACAUGCAAGUCGAACGGAAAGGCCCAAGCUUGCUUGGGUACUCGAGUGGCGAACGGGUGAGUAACACGUGGGUGAUCUGCCCUGCACUUCGGGAUAAGCCUGGGAAACUGGGUCUAAUGCCGGAUAGGACGAUGGUUUGGAUGCCAUUGUGGAAAGUUUUUUCGGUGUGGGAUGAGCUCGCGGCCUAUCAGCUUGUUGGUGGGGUAAUGGCCUACCAAGGCGUCGACGGGUAGCCGGCCUGAGAGGGUGUACGGCCACAUUGGGACUGAGAGACGGCCCAGACUCCUACGGGAGGCAGCAGUGGGGAAUAUUGCACAAUGGGCGCAAGCCUGAUGCAGCGACGCCGCGUGGGGGAUGACGGCCUUCGGGUUGUAAACUCCUUUCGCUAGGGACGAAGCGUUUUUGUGACGGUACCUGGAGAAGAAGCACCGGCUAACUACGUG
rnacentral:rRNA from 1 species